UUACCAUGGAACUGCAGACCUAUUUGCC
rnacentral:piRNA from 1 species